CCCAAAAUAUUUUAUUCAGCCCAUAUGUUAUGAUUUAAUGUUUUUGAAUAUUUGAGAAACUUAAGUUUAUUUUGCCCAUAGAGUUCGAUUUAAUUACAAGAAUGCCAUAAUGGCAAACUUGUAAAUAAAUGAAACAUGAAAUAAUAUCUAGAUAUUUUCAUCUAGACAUCUUGGUGCCCAAGUAACUUACUCAUCUUCUUCAUUUCUCUAGCAUAAUUUCAUUCUCCAUUGUUGUGUUGGUGCCAAAUUCUCUCAAAAACAAAAAACACAACUUUAUUUUCUUUCAUAAUUUCACAAAAAUUCCUUAACCAAAAACGUAGCAAAUUUCGCGUAGAUCGUUAAUCUACCAUUGCAUGUAGGAUCAAGAUGUGACGGAAAGUCAACUAUUGACGGAUCAAAUUGAAGGAGCACCGGUUGGAAUAGACCGAGUGGCUAAUAGUGGAUCAUCGUGGCGUAUUUAAUUAUUUAUGGAGCGACAGUCUGAAUAUUGCCUGUGUUUGGACGAGACUUCAUCUUUUUGAUUCUUGAAGUCUUCGUUUUGCGUAUAUGGUAAUUGGUCUUAUUUUGAUCUGUAGAGCUGCAGUAGAAUAGAUAGACAGACGCCUUAGCAUGUCAGUAUUUGCGAUGUGUGCCACGCAUGAACUCUGUUUUGUUUUCAUCGCACGAUUAUAAUAUAUUUUAACGACAUGCAUUGAGGUAUUGGAAAAUAGUUGCAACCCGGGUACACGGUAGUACCGGAAGUUUUGAGAUACAGUGUAAAGAAAACUGUACGCAACUAUGUUAUGUGUAUAAUGUGGGGCCCAGCGUGGCUAUAUGCAUGAUUGCAUGUUAUCGGUUUUGUAAAAGACGGUAUUCAAGGAAUACGCGUUAAAACGAUAACUAGUAAUUGAAAAGUAACGGUUUUAAUUUAAUGAAUGUGUUUGCAUAAUGAAAUGCAUUUAAAUCCAUAAUGAAAUGGUCUGCAUAAUGAAAUGCAGUUAUCGCCAUAA